UACGUAGGUGGCAAGCGUUGUCCGGAUUUACUGGGCGUAAAGGGCGUGCAGGCGGCUUGUUAAGUGCAGGGUGAAAGCUCCCGGCUCAACUGGGAGAGGUUCUUGCAUACUGGCGAGCUCGAGGGAGGCAGAGGAAAGUGGAAUUCCCGGUGUAGCGGUGAAAUGCGCAGAUAUCGGGAGGAACACCAAUUGCGAAGGCAGCUCGCUGGGACGUUACUGACGCUGAGACGCGAAAGCGUGGGGAGCAAACAGG
rnacentral:rRNA from 1 species